rnacentral:misc_RNA from 1 species
UCCGAUUUGUCACCGGCAGUCUCCCUAGAGUGCCCUUGCGUAGCAACUAGGGACAAGGGUUGCGCUCGUUGCGGGACUUAACCCAACACCUCACGGCACGAGCUGACGACAGCCAUGCACCACCUGUGAAGGUGCCCCGAAGGGAGACCGUGUUUCCACGGCUGUCACCAACAUGUCAAGCCCAGGUAAGGUUCCUCGCGUAGCGUCGAAUUGAACCACAUGUUCCACCGCUUGUGCGGGCCCCCGUCAAUUCCUUUGAGAUUCAAUCUUGCGAUCGUACUUCCCAGGUGGAUUACUUAAUGCUUUCGCUCAGACACCAACAGUGUAUCGCUGAUGUCGAGUAAUCAUCGUUUAGGGCGUGGACUAC